CUAUAUCAUAGCCAGAAGGCGAACACCCCAAGGGGUGUCGUUCAGUGCAUGAUUUAAAGGGGCUCAUUCCCUUGCCGAAAGGCAAAAAAUUGAAUUACUGCAAAGGCAGCUAGUAGCAAUUGCGAAAGAUGUCACGUGCAG
rnacentral:ncRNA from 14 species